UGGGACUGGUCAUUACAACCCAGAUUCUUCUUAGAUGAAAUACAAUAUUUGUGGGGAAGCAAUGUGAGUACAAGUGAAUACAUGGAAGAGUGAUGAUUACAACAAUAACGUCUCAAUCUCAAGCAAGUUGGGGUCGUCAUGGAACAGGUAAUUAUUUCUUUCUGGCAUAAGAGCACCGCUAAUAAGAAUAAAUUAUACAUAAUUACAACAAUGGGAAUACAAUAGUUACUAGCUAAGAAUGCACAAAUACAAAGGCACAGAGAAUAUCCUUUACCACUCAGGUCGAGGAACACCCAAAGCAGCUUCUUAGUGAAAACGUACUUGCUGGUUUAGGCAAUCGUGGAGGCUCGUUUUUGGUGCGUGAUAGCUGCUUAAAGAAGGCUUUUACUGCUCCAGUGACCCCAUCUUCGUUCUCCAUAGCUUUGGCUAGCUCAAUCGCUCGCUCCUUUACCUCUGGAUUAAGCAUGAACCUGAUUGCGUGGACCAGCUUAUCAAGUGUAAAUUGAUCAGCUUCUAUGGGUUGAGGGCCUACACCUCUGGCAUGCACCCUUUCCCCCCAAAAUGGCUGAUCACCAAAGAAAGGGACAAUAGUUGUUGGACACGCAGCUUUAAGACCAGCAGCAGUUGUUCCAGCACCCCCGUGGUGCACCACAGCAGCACACUGUAAGAAAAGCCAAUCAUGGGGAACAUUGUCGAGCAAAUACACAAAAUCUUUUGGUUCCGCCAAGUUUCCAAGGCCACCCCAUCCUUUAUUAAUGAUUCCCCUUUGAUUAGUGAUUUCAAGUGCUUUAACAAUUGUGUCAGUCAUUCCUUGUGGAUCUUGAACAGGAAGACUACCAAACCCAAUGUAGAUGGGCUUUGGACCAGCUUUAAGCCAGUUAACAAGUGCUUCUGGAGGUUCAUAACCCGUCGCAAGAUCAAGGAAGCAAAAUCCCACCACAUCAAUCUUAGGUCCCCAAUCUUUUGGUUUAGGAACAAGAUGAGGACUCCAAAUAUAUGCAUGUGGGAUAUCCAACUCAGAGCUUUGUGAACCACUUAAGUAUGUGACUGGUCGUAGUUUCAGUUUUUUCUUUCUAAGAUCAUUUAUCAUGUCACGUAUUCCUAGCCAAAUCAAGGAGUCAACAAUCUGAUAUGAUAGCCUAUAUCCAGCUGGUUGCUUAACACGGGAUAGAGGAUGAGGAAAUUCAGAAGUUGGCGUCCAUGGCAUUGUGAAAAAUAUAUGAAUUGGGAUUUGCAAUGCUUCUGCAACAUGUACAUGCCCAUAUGCUGGGGGAUUAGCAAUAAUUGCAUCUGCUUUGAAGGGAACUCCAGUAUCCAUAUCAGGUUCUUUGCAGGCUGGAAGUAGAGAGUAUAUAAUCUCCUUCAUCUGAUUUCUCUGAACAGGGAUUUCUGAAGGUCCGGAAGGUAAGAAUCCUUUGUUUUUUACCAUGUAUCCAGCCAAAACUUUUGGAUCGCCCCCAAGGGGAUAGAAUUCCAAUCCAGCACUCAAGACAAACUCUUUGAAAUUCGCAUGGGUCGCCAACCUCACUCGAUGGCCAAAAUCCUGUAGACGCUUGCCAAUUGCAGUAAAGGGCUGCACGUCACCACGCGUUCCUACAAUAAGCACUACAAUCUGCAUAGGUGGAAAAUAUUGAAGUUCUGUUGCAUCAAGAGGUUCAUCCUCAACUGCAGUAUGUACACUUUCAGAUCCAGUUCCAAGCACUUCGGUGGUUUCAACAUCACCCGGGAUUUCAAAUUCCACAGUACCAUCAUCUUUGACAGUAGCUAUUCUCUUCAACAAUUUGAGCUUCUGCUGUUCAGAAAUUUUAUCAUCAAAAAUUUUUGCUGCCUCUUGAGCAAAUCCGCUACUAUGCGUCGGUUUCUCAGUUUUUGAUCUACCCAACUUAGGUUGAUCUGAAGGUGAUUGUGGGUUCUCUGAAGGCAACGUACUUACUCUCGUAAGUUCCAUCCCGGAGGUCCCUGAAGAAUUAGUAACGCCAUUGGAAGCUGAACCACCAACUGCCUCCUCUCUACUGCCCACGUCAGCACCCGCACCAGCAGUACUAAUGUCAUCUUCCUUCACAACGGUGACGGAUAAUUCGCCGGAACUAGAAGAAGAGCUCCGCUUGUUGAAUUUCGUCGACGGUUCAGCCAUCGACACCUCCGGCGAAGUUUGAUCCAUAAUCUCCAAAAAUUGUCAGAGCUCAAG
rnacentral:misc_RNA from 1 species